rnacentral:rRNA from 1 species
UGGGGGAUAUUGCACAAUGGGCGAAAGCCUGAUGCAGCGACGCCGCGUGGGGGAUGAAGGCCUUCGGGUUGUAAACUUCUUUUGCUCUGAACAAGGCGCACCAUGGGGUGUGUUGAGUGUAGGGGUUGAUUAGCGCCGGCUAACUACGUGCCAGCAGCCGCGGUAAUACGUAGGGCGCGAGCGUUGUCCGGAAUUAUUGGGCGUAAAGGGCUUGUAGGUGGCUGGUUGCGUCUGUCGUGAAAGCUCAUGGCUUAACUGUGGGUUUGCUGUGGGUACGGGCUGGCUUGAGUGGAGUAGGGGAGGCUGGAAUUCCUGGUGUAGCGGUGGAAUGCGCAGAUAUCAGGAGGAAUACCGGUGGCGAAGGCGGGUCUCUGGGCUGUUACUGACACUGAGGAGCGAAAGCAUGGGGAGCGAACAGG